rnacentral:rRNA from 1 species
GAUGAACGCUGGCGGCGUGCCUAAUACAUGCAAGUCGAGCGAACAGACGAGGAGCUUGCUCCUCUGACGUUAGCGGCGGACGGGUGAGUAACACGUGGAUAACCUACCUAUAAGACUGGGAUAACUUCGGGAAACCGGAGCUAAUACCGGAUAAUAUAUUGAACCGCAUGGUUCAAUAGUGAAAGACGGUUUUGCUGUCACUUAUAGAUGGAUCCGCGCCGCAUUAGCUAGUUGGUAAGGUAACGGCUUACCAAGGCGACGAUGCGUAGCCGACCUGAGAGGGUGAUCGGCCACACUGGAACUGAGACACGGUCCAGACUCCUACGGGAGGCAGCAGUAGGGAACCUUCCGCAAAGGGCGAAAGCCUGACGGAGCAACGCCGCGUGAGUGAUGAAGGUCUUCGGAUCGUAAAACUCUGUUAUUAGGGAAGAACAAAUGUGUAAGUAACUAUGCACGUCUUGACGGUACCUAAUCAGAAAGCCACGGCUAACUACGUG